rnacentral:lncRNA from 1 species
AUUAUGUCAAAUACCGCCGAGAUUUAAAUACUUACGUGUACAGUGAUCACAUAAUUUGAAUUACAAAGAUAUAUGCCGCCUGUGAACUACUCCGCAGUCGACACUUUAACAAAAAGAAGGUAAGGCGUCAAACAUUAUAUAUCGAAGGUAGGCGUCAAACACAGCAUUUCGUCGGUAGGCUUGAUGGACUAAUAAAUAA